rnacentral:rRNA from 1 species
GGUGAACGCUGGCGGCGUGCCUAAUACAUGCAAGUCGAGCGAACGGACGAGAAGCUUGCUUCUCUGAUGUUAGCGGCGGACGGGUGAGUAACACGUGGAUAACCUACCUAUAAGACUGGGAUAACUUCGGGAAACCGGAGCUAAUACCGGAUAAUAUUUUGAACCGCAUGGUUCAAAAGUGAAAGACGGUCUUGCUGUCACUUAUAGAUGGAUCCGCGCUGCAUUAGCUGGUUGGUAAGGUAACGGCUUACCAAGGCAACGAUGCAUAGCCGACUUGAGAGGGUGAUCGGCCACACUGGAACUGAGACACGGUCCAGACUCCUACGGGAGGCAGCAGUAGGGAAUCUUCCGCAAUGGGCGAAAGCCUGACGGAGCAACGCCGCGUGAGUGAUGAAGGUCUUCGGAUCGUAAAACUCUGUUAUUAGGGAAGAACAUAUGUGUAAGUAACUGUGCACAUCUUGACGGUACCUAAUCAGAAAGCCACGGCUAACUACGUG